CACUAUUAAUGAUUCUCUGCUGUGAUUGCAGAGAGGAGCCCAGCAUAACUGUCUCCUGCGAAGCUUCAUCGAGGAGCAGAGGGAAACAGACUCAGAGUCCCACAGCCAAACAUCAGAUUGGUACACCUCUCCAACCUCACAAGAGAAGCCGCUUUAUACCGUAGAUGGCAAUUAACACCAUUGGUCGUUUUCCCUCCUGCAUCGGUAUGCUAUUUCUCCUUUAGAGAAAUGAUGGCUGCUCUUCAAGUCUCUUUAAGUUAAGCUGGCUUAUGACUGCUCCCAGCGAUGACAGGUAGCAGAAGUGAUACUGGCACACGGACCUUGUUUUUAAGAUAAUGGGCAUUCUUCCCGAGGUUCCUGAAAUACUCCGUCUGGGGGAAGUUGGCUAUGAUAGAAGACAUCUGAUUGCUCUGAGCCUCCAUGCUUUAAGGAAGCCCAUGAGGUGCACGGGGAGAGAACGACAUUAGCUUGCUCCAGAUGUUUGAGUCUUUUCAGCCCAGGAAUCAGAUGCAAACACUGGACCCACUUGGCCAUUUCUUCCCAGCAGAUGCUACCUGAGAGAGAACUGAAGUGCCAGACAUAGAGCCCAAGGGGAGCUGUCAUAGCCAUUUCUGGCCACUCAGAACAUCCCAGCAUGGUGAAGUAGAAGCAAACAUCUUUUGUACUCUGUCCAAACUCCUGGUCCACCAAACCGUGAACAAAAUACCGUGCCUGCUAUUUUUCUUGCUACUAAAUCGUGAUGUGGUAAAGAGAUUGGCUACUUGCUUCUCCUCUUCUGGCAUGACUGCAUUAACUACUUUGCCAUUUGUUUCUGUAAAAUCCAAUCCCUGCACCAUGUUGUCCUUGACCAGUGGAACCUCUUUGCAUCUCUUGCAAAUGAACAUCUUACCUAGGUUUCUCGUCUCAUCUACAAAUCACCCUCAGUACCUAGGAAACCAACAUGGCCCAAAUACCUUCCUGUUUAACUGGGAAAUAAGUUACACUAAAUAUAGAAAGCCUGUGGCUCUCAGAGCAAGUGAAGAAACUGGCUCUCCAUGACUACAUGGACCAGCCUGUGUAACAAGUUAUCAUUGUCAACAGUACUCCCUCAGAUAAGCCACACCUCCAUGUCCACAUGUGCAGACAAGCAGACAGGUGAGAACCGAUCUGUUAAAAAUGUUGCUUUGCUCGUUCUCUUUUCUCUCCUGCUUGGCAGAGCCAGGUAGCAGCCAAACCAAGAUUUCCCCCUACUAGAUACUGCAGCCCAACAAGUAAAAGGCUAUGAAUGGUCUGUUGGCCAGUGAGAUCUCACAAACCCUCAAACAUUACAGGUCGCUGCCAAUGUUUUUUGUUAUCCCCCAGAACUUGACAAUAAGAGCCUCUCACUGAAGGCGCCAUACAUUAUACUAAUGGAACAAGGAACCAUCACGUUGGUUCUGAUACAGACACUUCAUUCCCACUGGAUAGUUUAUAGGGUGCUGGAAGGCACUGUGCACACCACCAGGGUAAAGGGAUUGCCAGUGUUACCCAGCUGUGACCUCUCUGGUCCACAAUAAUUACUGGCCUAGCAAGAAAUGCCUCUUUGUGCAAUAGUGGCAUGACUGUCAUAGGAGUAACUACUUUUUGAUUGACUUAAGGUCCAAGCCAUAAUGUUAAAUGCCUAUGUGUCACCAUUAGCAGUGUUAGGACCUGUGGGUAGACAGGGUCUAUAACCUGGGGGGAGACCUCUCACUAGUAUUCUGUUCAAUAGAUAUAGAAGUAAAUUCUGAUGAUUAACUAUUACACCUGUAGAUUAGUGCACCUCCCAACUCUUGUCAGAGACUUCUUAAAACAGUUGAUGGUGACCAAUCCAGAGACCCAUACUGGUUCAAUUGCAAAGGAUGGAAAAUAGUAGAAUGCUUUCGUCUAAAUUUGACAUCCAUAAUAUAUCCCUUCUUCCCUAAAAGCCUCGGAGAUCAUUGCAAAAGAGAGGUUGGAAGAUGGUAAGAAUCAGGCAUUUUGAGCCUCAGUUUCUUUAACCUGCACAGCACAACUGCUUCUAAUAUUACACAGAACGAGGCAUUCGAAGUGCUUUGGCCAGUAAUUACUCAGAAAACGCUAGCCAGUAAAAUUAUCUGCGUUUUUUAAUUUAUCCAGCUUACAACUUUGAGCUCAGGAGAUAGAAAGAAAAAAUCCGUAAGACUUGGUUUAUUCUGCUACCUAGCAACGACGUAUUUACAUUUCCAGCAUCUUUUCUUUCUCCCUGAUUACUGCGAGAAGCACUUUCUGCGUGCCCUGUUAUAAUUCAGGACCACCUGUGAAGUAUGGAGGACUCUUCUCUUUCCUUCUGGAGAUGCAGCGGCCUAGCAUAAAUUGUCAGCUUUGUUGCUUCACUGAAGUCCUUUUGAAAGGAUAUUGGGGGGAAUGGCUGCACCAGCGUACAAUGACAGUGACAGUCUGUCAAUGACAAACUGUUGUUCAUAUAACUGCAGUGGAAAAGAUGAUGCCGUGAUGGGAGGCCAGGACUCAGCACAAGGCAAGGACACCUGGCCCUAGGAUUAUGCAGCUUUCAGAAAGGAAAACCUCCUUGGAAUGUGAACUUAACUUGGCCACAGAUGUGAGCUCACCCCCUUUCCUUAGUAAAUUCCAACUCCCAGUGCAGUCUUAUCUCAGGCCAUAUGCUUUUAGCAGAGCGCACUGGUCUCUGAGUCUUCAAUGCGUCAAGCACACCUAAGCUGUUGUAUCUUUCAUCUGGCUUAAGUUCUCUCUUACAUGGAGUUUAAAUGAGCAGCUGCUAACUCGGGCAGAAUUAAUUACCUGUUGAACUUCUGAUUGGCAUUUCUGGGACCCUAUACAUGCCUUUCCUCUAUGACUUACCAUAUUUAUUGAAACGAAUCCACUUACCAGUCUCCUCCUGGAGGAGACUAAUACCCUUGAAGGCAGAGACCGUGUCUUAUUUAUCUUAUUAUCCCUAUAAUAUUUCCCCUAUAGUCGACAUUCAAUGAAUAUUUAAAGGAACACCUCAGUUACUCCCAUAACGAGGAGAUGAAAAGGAUAAUUCAAUUUGAGAAGGUUCUAUUUGUGCAAAAAUCAGAUUGGGGACAGGGGGACGUAUGUGGAAAUUACAAGAAGACACGCCACUAAUGACUAUACAGUAUACACGGCAUUUCAGUCCUUUGAAUGAAACCAUUGUACACCAGGGUCACAACUCCCAAACUACUCACGAUUUCAUUGGUGACUUAAUGACUGAUCUGUAGAAAAGGCCCCCGUCCCCACCAGACCAAAUUCUCCACUUUUAGUAAGAGAAGGCUGAAUCAGACAUUAUCUUGGACACUUCUUAAUUUUUACUGUUCAUUGUGUUACAUUCAUUUUUGUUCAAAAUUCUUCUGAGCAACUUGUCCCAAUCUAACGGCAUCCUGUUUGUAAUGGACAAUUUGUUCACUUCCUUAAGGGAUACUUACAUUCCCAAUUCUUUCUUCCAAAGAGCAAACAGUUCCCCCCAACUCUGGGUUUCCAGGAGUUUAAUAAGCGUGUCCUUUAUCUGUCAGUCAAGUGGAUGAUUGCAAAAUAUUCAAUAAUCCCUGUAAAAUAUUCAAUAAAACUGGAGGUGGCAAGCUUGUAACAUUCAAUUCUUCUCCCAGAUUCAAUUUAAUCCUGGAGCAACCAGAAAAGAUAAUUGCUCCUGCACAGAAUUUUUGCACCUCUCUUUUGCAUUCCUCAGCAGGAGGCGGCUUUCCGCCCUGUGACUCAUUGUUGCUUCACCUUGGAAAUUUCUGCUCCUUCAAUCCUGACUUAGAUUUUUUUUUCACUGUUCAAGUAAACUGGAGAGGAAAAUCCUACUUGGUUGAGAGAGAACCCUUGAACUGUGGAUCCUUGGUUGUAUU
rnacentral:sRNA from 1 species